GUUACAUAUGCUUCAGGUUACAGACUCCGCUAACCCAGAAAUAGUGCUUCAGGUUAAAAACUUUGCUUCAGGAUGAGAACAGAAAUCGCGCUCCGGCGGCACGGCAACAGCAGGAGGCCCCAUUAGCUACAGUGGUGCUUCAGGUUAAGAACAGUUUCAGGUUAAGUACGGACCUCCGGAACGAAUUAAGUACUUAACCCGAGGUACC